rnacentral:rRNA from 1 species
UACGAACUGUGCAAACGUUAUUCGGAAUCACUGGGCUUAAAGGGUGCGUAGGCGGCUGUCUAAGUAGGGUGUGAAAGCCCCCCGGCUCAACCGGGGAAUUGCGCCCUAAACUGGACGGCUGGAGUGAGGCAGGGGUGUGUGGAACUUCCGGUGGAGCGGUGAAAUGUGUUGAUAUCGGAAGGAACGCCGGUGGCGAAAGCGACACACUGGGUCUCAACUGACGCUGAGGCACGAAAGCCAGGGGAGCAAACGGG